UACGUAGGGUGCAAGCGUUGUCCGGAAUUAUUGGGCGUAAAGAGCUCGUAGGCGGUUUGUCGCGUCGGCUGUGAAAGCCCGGAGCUCAACUCCGGGUCUGCAGUCGAUACGGGCAGACUUGAGUGUUGCAGGGGAGACUGGAAUUCCUGGUGUAGCGGUGAAAUGCGCAGAUAUCAGGAGGAACACCGGUGGCGAAGGCGGGUCUCUGGGCAACAACUGACGCUGAGGAGCGAAAGCGUGGGGAGCGAAC
rnacentral:rRNA from 1 species